rnacentral:misc_RNA from 1 species
GGACCAAUUUGUUGGUCGUGCCUCGGUACGUACUGGUAUUAUUGGUUUCUCCCUUCUGAAGAAUCUCGAUGCCAUUAAUUUGGUGUCGUGGGGAAUCAGGACUGUUACUUUGAAAAAAUUAGAGUGUUUAAAGCAAGCUAACGCUUGAAUACAUUAGCAUGGAAUAAUGAAAUAGGACGUUCGAUCCUAUUUUGUUGGUUUCUAGGAUUGACGUA